UUUAAAACGCUGGACUCAUCAUGGCGGCGCGCACUCUGCCGCUUGGCGCGCGCUUCCCUGAGUGCGGGUAAGGGGCAGGACUUUCUAGUCUGCAGUCGUGCUGUCUUCGGACACCUGGUCCCUGUGCGCCGUUUAGCACCAUCUACGGGCUGGCCCUCACCGGCGAGCCCACUGACCCUGAACGACCCUCAGCUCGGCGCACCGGAAGUGCUUGGCCCUGUCCGCGUCUGUAUCCCGGAUGUGGUUCUCUUUCCCCACCCUCGGGGCGGUGCAGCUGUUUCGGAGGGCGGGCCCCGGGCCCGAAUGCCACCCAGUUUGGCAGGGCCUAUUUAUGGCUUUCAUCUACGCGUUAUUGGAAAGGCCAGACUGGGGCCUUGGGCAUCGUUCGUGCCCUCAGUCAGCCUUAGGCUUUGUGACGUUGGGCAGGUUGCAUAACCUUUCUGAACUUCCCAGGUGACUCAGCUGCCAAAACUCCCAGUCUUCCAAAAUUGCACAGCUCCUGCUGCAUAGCGUGCCCUAAACUCAGCCAUUGUUUCGUCUGGCGGCGCCCCUGGCUCUGGACGGACUUUAGAAGCUGCUUUAAAUGAGGGCCACGCCGGCUGACAUCCCCACCCAAAUUGAAAACCCUGACAAAUCUUUCCAAAAACAAUGUCUUCCCUGUUUAAUCCUAAUAACCAAGCCUGAAGGGAUCUCAGAUUUCCUGGUUGAAGAGUCUCCAGGUUCUUCUUUUAAAGGACAGAUUGAUUUCUCACCGAAGCUAUAGAAGGAGAAUCUGAAAAAAAAGCCGGACUGGCUCUGCCUUAAGCAAAACGAGGGGGUUCACUCCCCAGUGGCCUUUACUCUGGUCUUUUUCUUUCUCCCCCUUUUGGAAUGCCAGGCGCCUGGCCUCUGCCCCACAACACUGUAAGCGGGAGCCAUGGUUGCGAAGGCUGAGGGAGAGGCUUUGUUUCUAGUUCCUAGAAAUAGCCUGCAAGACCGCUGAUCCUGAAGACAUCCUGUUGCCUAAGCAUCGCACACCUAGUUACCCUGAAUCCUUUACUACCCCUAGACGUCAGUGCAGGGGAGGUGAGGUGUACAUCAGGGAGACAGCAGGACAAACUCUCUGAGCCUUCACCUUCCACUUCCCUCCAGCUCUGCUAGACUGUAGUCUGCCCACGAGGGCACGCUCCAGGAAGCGUCUUGGGAAGAAGGAAUCCCAGGCUUCACAUCGGAUCUCCUGAAGCAGAAUCUGCUUUUUUUUUUUUUAAACAGAAUCCCCACGGGCUGCUUUGUGUACUAAAGUUUGACGCUUUGGUCUAACUCGAGGGGUGAUCUGGUUUAAAGUGAUGUGGUGACAUCGAAAGUUUAAGGAGAGACAAGUCCGCAGAGCCAGAAUCAGCAGUGGUGGCCAUAGAGCUACUGGGGCCUCCUGCAUUUGGCAGUUGGGUGGACUGAUUCAGAAGAUGCGGGAAAAUGUGUCACGGGGCAGUCUGAGGGAACACCACGAUUAUGGGAUUCUUCGCUUAAAGGAGAGACAAGAGCACCUGCUAUUGCCACACUCACUGUCCUCAGAAGGUUCCUUGUGAACAGUAAAGAGAUACAGUGACGUGAGGCCAGGACGGGAUGGGCCAGUGUGGAAAUGAACGGAAGCCCUGCCCAGUGCAGAUGCAGUCAGCCGGCCGUGGCCUGGGAGGGAGUGUGGCAGCCCAAACCAGCACGUCCGCUACAGCCGGGAAACAUUCGUCGAAUUCAACGCAAGCAGCAAAUGCAGAUAAGAACAGAGCUGUGAUCUCUGGUGCAUCAGAAAGUUAGCUGCAACGUGAGAUACGUUGAGAUGACCAGUAAACGUUGUUUGGCACACAUGUCGUUCGGCGUGAGUGAGCAAUCGUUGUCCGGCAUUUUUAUUUUUCUGUGACGUGGGCUCUCUGAGGAGUUAGUGAUGGUAUGAGACUCCUGCUCACCGGCUCACGAACGUGUCACGAAUGUGUUCAUGUGACAGGUCCCUCAGCGGGAGCCUGGGACACUCGCAGUCGUGGGAAGGGUCUUACCAGCCAUGCAAUAGGGUCCG